UACGUAGGGUGCAAGCGUUAAUCGGAAUUACUGGGCGUAAAGCGUGCGCAGGCGGUGAUGUAAGACAGGUGUGAAAUCCCCGGGCUCCAACCUGGGAACUGCAUUUGUGACUGCAUAGCUAGAGUACGGUAGAGGGGGAUGGAAUUCCGCGUGUAGCAGUGAAAUGCGUAGAUAUGCGGAGGAACACCGAUGGCGAAGGCAAUCCCCUGGACCUGUACUGACGCUCAUGCACGAAAGCGUGGGGAGCAAACGAGG
rnacentral:rRNA from 1 species